rnacentral:rRNA from 1 species
GAUGAACGCUGGCGGCGUGCCUAUACAUGCAGGUCGAGCGAACAGAUGAGGAGCUUGCUCCUCUGACGUUAGCGGCGGACGGGUGAGUAACACGUGGAUAACCUACCUAUAAGACUGGGAUAACUUCGGGAAACCGGAGCUAAUACCGGAUAAUAUAUUGAACCGCAUGGUUCAAUAGUGAAAGACGGUUUUGCUGUCACUUAUAGAUGGAUCCGCGCCGCAUUAGCUAGUUGGUAAGGUAACGGCUUACCAAGGCAACGAUGCGUAGCCGACCUGAGAGGGUGAUCGGCCACACUGGAACUGAGACACGGUCCAGACUCCUACGGGAGGCAGCAGUAGGGAAUCUUCCGCAAUGGGCGAAAGCCUGACGGAGCAACGCCGCGUGAGUGAUGAAGGUCUUCGGAUCGUAAAACUCUGUUAUUAGGGAAGAACAAAUGUGUAGGUAACUAUGCACGUCUUGACGGUACCUAAUCAGAAAGCCACGGCUAACUACGUG